GAUGAACGCUGGCGGCGUGCUUAACACAUGCAAGUCGAACGGAGUUAACAUGUGAGCGGAGAGUGCUUGCACUUAACAAUCUUUUGUUAACUUAGUGGCGGACGGGUGAGUAACGCGUGGGUAACCUGCCUCAUACAGGGGGAUAACACUUAGAAAUAGGUGCUAAUACCGCAUAAGCGCACAGUAUCGCAUGAUACAGUGUGAAAAACUCCGGUGGUAUGAGAUGGACCCGCGUCUGAUUAGCUAGUUGGUGAGGUAACGGCCCACCAAGGCAACGAUCAGUAGCCGGCCUGAGAGGGUNAACGGGCCACAUUGGGACUGAGACACGG
rnacentral:rRNA from 1 species